AUCUAAGUAAUUAUUUCUCAAUUUCUAGGGUUUUUCCUUUCAAUUUCAGACCCUUCUCUAAUUCGCUUGGCGCUUCCCCUUCUUUUCACAGGAAUUCCCUCAAUUGGAGACAAAAAUUAAGGGUUCAUGAUGGAACUUCAUUGAUUGGGGUUAUUCUAUAGUUGGUGAAGGGAAGGAAAAGAUGUGGAAGGGUGUGACUAUGCUCUUAUAAGGA
rnacentral:misc_RNA from 1 species